GACGAACGCUGGCGGCGUGCUUAACACAUGCAAGUCGAACGGUAAGGCCCUUCGGGGUACACGAGUGGCGAACGGGUGAGUAACACGUGGGUGAUCUGCCCUGCACUUCGGAAUAAGCCCGGGAAACUGGGUCUAAUACCGGAUAGGACUGCGCGGUGCAUGCCGUGUGGUGGAAAGAUUUAUCGGUGCAGGAUGGGCCCGCGGCCUAUCAGCUUGUUGGUGGGGUAAUGGCCUACCAAGGCGACGACGGGUAGCCGGCCUGAGAGGGCGACCGGCCACACUGGGACUGAGACACGGCCCAGACUCCUACGGGAGGCAGCAGUGGGGAAUAUUGCACAAUGGGCGCAAGCCUGAUGCAGCGACGCCGCGUGAGGGAUGACGGCCUUCGGGUUGUAAACCUCUUUCAGCAGGGACGAAGCGUGAGUGACGGUACCU
rnacentral:rRNA from 1 species